rnacentral:tRNA from 1 species
GGGGAUAUAGCUCAGUUGGUAGAGCUCCGCUCUUGCAAGGCGGGUGGCGCGCUAGUCCGCUUAUCUCCA